CACGCCGUAAACGAUGAGCACUAGGUGUCGGGGUUUAAAGACUUCGGUGCCGCAGUUAACGCAUUAAGUGCUCCGCCUGGGGAGUACGUACGCAAGUAUAAAACUCAAAGGAAUUGACGG
rnacentral:rRNA from 1 species